GUCAGGUUGGCCGAGCGGUCUAAGGCGCCAGAUUUAAGCUCUGGUCCCGAGAGGGAGCGUGGGUUCGAACCCCACACCUGACA
rnacentral:tRNA from 1 species